rnacentral:rRNA from 1 species
UGGGGAAUAUUGGACAAUGGAGGAAACUCUGAUCCAGCAAUUCUGUGUGUGUGAAGAAGGUUUUAGGACUGUAAAACACUUUUAGUAGGGAAGAAAAAAAUGACGGUACCUACAGAAGAAGCAACGGCUAAAUACGUGCCAGCAGCCGCGGUAAUACGUAUGUUGCGAGCGUUAUCCGGAAUUAUUGGGCUUAAAGGGCAUCUAGGCGGUAAGACAAGUUGAAGGUGAAAACCUGUGGCUCAACCAUAGGCUUGCCUACAAAACUGUUGAACUAGAGUACUGGAAAGGUGGGUGGAACUACACGAGUAGAGGUGAAAUUCGUAGAUAUGUGUAGGAAUGCCGAUGAUGAAGAUAACUCACUGGACAGAAACUGACGCUGAAGUGCGAAAGCUAAGGGAGCAAACAGG